GGUGGUAUAGUAUAAUGGCCAGUACAACACGUUGUGGAAAUGUGUGCAUUCACUUGUGCAGCUGAUCUUUCGCAACUGUUCCGUGUAGAUCUGGGUUCGAUUCCCAGUACCGCCA